CCCACGCCCUAAACGAUGAACACUAGUCGUCGGGAUGCUAGUCAUCUCGGUGAUGCACUUAACAGAUUAAGUGUUCCGCCUGGGGAGUACGGUCGCAAGGUUAAAACUCAAAGGAAUAGACGGGGACCCGCACAAGUGGUGGAGCAUGUGGUUUAAUUCGAAAAUCGCGAGGAACCUUACCAGGGCUUAAAUGGGAAUUGACAGGGUAGGAAACUACUUUUCUCGGACAAUUUUCAAGGUGCUGCAUGGUUGUCGUCAGCUCGUGCUGUGAAGUGUCGGGUUAAGUCCCAUAACG
rnacentral:rRNA from 1 species